UACGAAGGGGGCUAGCGUUGUUCGGAAUUACUGGGCGUAAAGCGCACGUAGGCGGAUACUUAAGUCAGGGGUGAAAUCCCGGGGCUCAACCCCGGAACUGCCUUUGAUACUGGGUAUCUCGAGUCCGGAAGAGGUGAGUGGAAUUCCGAGUGUAGAGGUGAAAUUCGUAGAUAUUCGGAGGAACACCAGUGGCGAAGGCGGCUCACUGGUCCGGUACUGACGCUGAGACGCGAAAGCGUGGGGAGCAAACAGG
rnacentral:rRNA from 1 species